rnacentral:lncRNA from 1 species
UUUUUUUUUUUUUUUUGUCUUUUUGCCAUUUCUUGGGCCGCUCCUGCGGCAUAUGGAGGUUCCCCAGGCUAGGGGUCUAAUCAGAGCUGUAGCCGCAGGCCUACACCAUAGCCAUAGCAAUGCGGGAUCCAAGCAGCGUCUGCAACCUACACCACAGCUCAUGGCAAUGCCGGAUCCUCAACCCACUGAGCAAGGCCAGGGAUCGAACCCGCAACCUCAUGGUUCCUAGUUGGAUUCGUUAACCACUGAGCCACGACGGGAACUCCCUGUAUAUAGUUUUUUAAUAAAAUACAAACUUUUAGGAGAUUUAAACAUUUGGGAAUGAUGAAAAAUAACAUUAAAUUGAAUGAAAAUUUGCUAAAAUACUUUUAAUUAAGAAAUACUACAAUGGAGAAAGCAGAGUUACUCAUUUUCCUUGACACUGAAAGUAAUGAUCCAUUUAUUUUAGAAUACUAUUGGUAGAAAGUUAGGAAAUACUCCCUGUAGUAUUUAAAGAUAAAAGGUAAUAACAACCAUGUAAACUUUGACUUGUAGGCUAAAAUCCUGGAAAGAUCUCUAAGGUAAGCUGAGUUGAAACCAAGUCACAAAAUAAUGUACACAGUAUGAUCCCAUUCAUGUAAAAAAAAUAAAACAUUACUGUGCAUCAAUCAUAAGUAUAUAUAUGUGCAUACAUUGUGUAUAUGUAUAAUUUAUGAAAUUAAAAAAUAUAUAAAAUAUAUGCCUUAUAUUUUCUAAAUACAUUAAGAAAUAGCCAGGAAAAUAAUGUACCAAAUUAUGUCCUUAGUUUAUAUAAAGUGUGUAUGCGGGAUGCUGGAAGGUUGAAGAACUCUUACUGUUUUGCGUACUUGAGUAUUAUUACUUGGGUUUAUUUCUAACAAUAAGCACAUAUUCCUGUAGUAAUUUUAUAAUGGAAAAAUACUUACAUAUUAAAGGAAUGAGAAAAAGAAUGAUCCAGGAAAAUUAUAAUCCUAGCCCUUAAUCAUCCUGUGAAUAUAUCUCUUGACCACCAUGAAGAGAAUAGAGUAUUGGUUAACAGUCAUAGCUUCAUUCAGAAUAAAAUCCGAAUGAAGGGAGAUUCAGGGAGAAAAGCCUAGAUGGUUGAGGCAAGAAUAAUGGAUGUAAUCUAUCCUGAUUUUUAAAUACUUUGUCUCUUAUUGCAAAAUGCAUUUCUCACUAUCCUAGGAAAAUACAGCUUAGGGAUCCAGUGGUAAAGACUUUCAGUCUUAAAUGAGUAGACAGUAACUAAGUCAGUUUCAGUCUGAGAGAACAUAUAAUAUAUGGGCCUAAGUUAGACUUUUGCUAUUUUAAUAAUGACCCAAAUUAUUGUAUGCUCAUUCAAAAUACAGAUGGCAUAGUCAUGAGAUUUUUAUGAUCGAACUGAGUAUGUAAAUAUGCAAUUAGAAAUUAUGUAAUUUAGAAAUUAUGUAAUUUAUGCAUGUAAAUUAGAAAGUAUGUAAAGAAGCAAUUAGAAAUCUAUAGAGUUAAUCACACUGGACUUCCUGGGAGGACAUGGGCUAAUCAGAGUUUAGGGAGUGGAGGGAUCCUAGGUUGGCAGAGAAGUAAUUCAAGUAAAGACAAAGAUUGCAAUGGGAUAAGAGGAUGAGAAAGCUUAUUUUUAUUAGUUUGAAAGCUAGGAUUAAAAUUCAGAAUAACCUGAUAAAUCAAGAAAUAAUAUACUUUGCAUUUGUGUCUUAAGACUUUAUUUCCCAGUGCAGGUCAGAAAAAUAAGGAAAAAAUAACUUACAUAAAAAAUGAGACAGUGAACAUUUUUUUCAAUUAUGACUAGAAAAUCUGUCCAGUCUUAAACAAGUGCAAUGUGAAUAUGAGUUGAAAAUGAAACACUGUAGUUAAAAUAGGAAAAAAAAAUUUUUUGGCCUUUUAGGGCUGCACCUGCAGCAUAUGAAAUUCCCAGGCUAGGUGUUGAAUUGGAGCUGUAGCUGCAGGCCUAUACCACAGCCACAGAAACGCCCAGAUCUGAGCUGGGUCUGCCCACAGCUCAUGGUGGGAUCCUUAAUCCAUUGAACAAAACCAGGGAUUGAUCCCGAAUCCUUAUGGAUACUAGAUGGGUUCAUUACUGCUGACCCACAGUAGGAACUCCAGAAAAUUUUAUCCUAGGAUCUUCAGGUUCUUUUUCCCUUCAUAAUUAAAACUCAUACUUAAGCUGGUCCUAGGAUCAGUAGCAAAUAGUAUACAAUUAAAACUAUAAAUCUUACAUAUAAAUAAUAAAAUAACGAAAAGUUAUAGCUUAUGUUUUCUCCAUUUACUUUAUAAUGUUAAUUUAUAUUUAUUUCCAGCUGGCCCUAUAUGGAAAUCACCAUCCCACCUAUCCCCUACCGCCAUAUAUUAAACUUUUUUCCUGAAAAAUAGCCAGUUUAAUGAGUUCUAUCAAAUGUUGUAUUUUUUUUUUACCCAAAAUGUCAUGAUAAUUUUUCCUUUAAAACCAUGUAGGGAUCAUUGACUCGGUGUUUGUUAUCUUUUUU